GACGGGGGAUGCGAGCGUUAUCCGGAAUGAUUGGGCGUAAAGGGUCCGCAGGUGGCCCGGUCAGUCCGCUGUCAAAGCCUGGGGCUCAACCCUGGAGUGGCGGCGGAGACCACCGGGCUUGAGUCCGGUAGGGGCAGAGGGAAUUCCCGGUGGAGCGGUGAAAUGCGUAGAGAUCGGGAAGAACGCCAAGGGCGAAGUCACUCUGCUAGGCCUGAUUUCGCGACUGACACUCAGGGACGAGAGCCAGGGGAGCGAAUGGG
rnacentral:rRNA from 1 species